GGUUUUAUAAAGGGUUUUUAUUGCUUGUUUUAUUGUUUUAGUGUGCAAAUAUUAUUUCAAAUGCCUGGGUGCAUGAGUAAACUAUCCACCUCAUCACAGAGGCUGUUUUUUAGUGGCAGCGAUGGAUUUUGGGCGGUUUUGUCACAGACGGCUCCCAUCACACCCUGGAGAAGUACUUUCGGAGCUGCUCCGUGGUGAAACUGUCAAAAAAAAACCCUGCUGCCACCACUGAAAAAUAGCCGACAGCAAAAGAUUGGAGGCAUCCCGUCUUUUCAUAGGAAUCCACAGGGACAGGGAGCUUCCUGAAGUGAUGAGGCGGGGAAAAUCCGGGAUGGCGUAGGGCACAGGGCGACAAGUCCUCACACUCCCUGGGUGGGCGAUGUUGAGAUUACUGAGAUCUGUGAUGAUACGUGGUGAUUUGGGUGGCACGUGUGAAGAGGUCUUUGUUCCCUGUUUCAAAGAAACCAGCUCCAAACUGACCCGUGAUGUCUGCAUUCUGCUUUUGGACAGUCAACUUCUCUUUUUGGGGAGUUUCACCUGUAUUACGCCUUUAUAGACAACCAAAGAAGUUGCUGAUGGUUUUCCAGGGAUGGAAAUGCACUGUCCCACAAAAUCAGGGGCAAACUAGAGCAAAGAACAAUGAAGCUGAAAAUCUAUGAUGCAGUACAGAACCUUCCAUCCUGAAAACACGAAGUGCUCCACUGAAGUCUUGAAAUCUUAUCCAAGAAACCCUGGGUCAACUUAUCUCCUGGUCAAUGACGUGGCAGGAGAAAUACAACACACUGGAAACCAUAUGCUGUUGAGGAAACAUGAUGACGAUGACUAUUUUCCCCUCCUGUGUCACUUGUCCUCUCAUCCAGAACUGAUACCGUGGGAUUGCUCAACAGCUAUAGAGAAACUAGGCUACGUAAUUGCAAAACGGUAUUGUUUUUCUGCACUUGGCACAAGACACUUAAUCUAUAGAUAUAAAGGUCAAAGUUUGAUGUGUGUACUUUGCAUGUAUGUUUGUUUGAUCUACAAAGUUUCCUACACAGAUGGAUGGAUC
rnacentral:lncRNA from 11 species